rnacentral:rRNA from 1 species
UACAGAGGUGGCAAGCGUUGUUCGGAAUUACUGGGCGUAAAGGGCGCGUAGGCGGUUCGAUAAGUCCCGUGUGAAAUCCCUCGGCUCAACUGAGGAAUGGCACGGGAAACUGACGGGCUUGAGUUCGGGAGAGGGAAGCGGAAUUCCGGGUGUAGCGGUGAAAUGCGCAGAUAUCAGGAGGAACACCGGUGGCGAAGGCGGAUCUCUGGGCCUUACCUGACGCUGAGGCGCGAAAGCUAGGGGAGCAAACAGG